rnacentral:lncRNA from 1 species
GCACAGACCUCCCUCCCAAGCAUGUCCUUAACCUUGGCAAAAUAAACUUCCAAAUUGAUUGAGAGCUGGUUUUGGUUUACAAGCUGGCAGCCAAAGGAAGUGACUCAGUGGAGGUGGCCCUGACCUUUGACAAAUCUAUCAGUGCUUGGUACCAGCUUGGGCUAUUUUUAUUGCUCAAACAGGACAAUUUGCUGAGGCCUGGGAGCACCCCACUCCAGAGAAUCCCUGAUGUCCCAAAAUUUGGUUGAGAUCUAAAGUUUAUUUUGCUGUACACCUCUUUGUCUGCAGUUUUACUUACUCCCAACAAAGAAGGUGCGUUUUCCUGCCUCCAUGACGAUGGAGGGGAGGCAACUCCUUUCUGGAAUUUCAUCUGGCUUCCAGCAGGGAAGGUAAGGAAGCAUGACAGUUGCCCUGACGGCUCCCUGUACCACAUUCAUCACAGCAGAACCUCGUAAUGAAGCUGGAUUUGAGGGCAACACACCCCCUUUAUUGGCUACACACACACUAUCAAGACAAUUCAACUUAGCUACAUUAUACAAAAGCUCCAGGAGCACUGACGCCCU